rnacentral:tRNA from 1 species
GCCAUAGCUCAGUUGGUCAGAGCCGUCGACUCAUAAUCGAUUGGUAGUAGGUUCAAGUCAUACUGGGCCCACUA